ensembl:lncRNA
AUGUGUACUAUCAGCUGUUCUUCCCUUAAUAGGAUCCUCUGGUGUGCAAAUCACGACAGUGGAAUGAUGCAAUGGGGCAUAUGGACAAUGAAUCAGCAGGCAAACUAUUUUACAAUAAAAAGUGUUGGAAAAAAAGAAGUAUUGACACAGAAAUUUAUUUACACGGUGGCUGAUUCACAUUCAGUGCGUGUGCCAAAAGGAGUUUUAACAGGGGAAGAUGUCAGAAAAAAAGGUUUACUUGUUUCUGCUACUUCAAGACAUAAGAGUUGGCAAACUUCUGGGAAGCUUCCAUUUUAAAUGAGGUGUUUUGCAUUUGGAAAAUAUAAUUAUUGCUACAGGCUGCAAGUGAAAAAAAAACACCUAAGAGAGUACAGGAAAUUGCCUUUUUUUGUUAUUUUGAUUUUGCUAAUUAAAGCACUAGAAAUUGACCCAAAGUUGAAGAAUCAAAUUGGAAUAAUAAUUAUUCAAAUCUUAUUUUAUUAUCUUACAAAGAUUCUUUGUAUUUCUUAGUCAUUCCCCCCAUUUACUUUUUAAAAACCUACUAUAUGGAGUCUUUGGAAAGAAGCAGCUCCAGUGAUGGUAAUGCACUAUUAUUUUUAGAGGACAUUAAGGUUACAUAGGGAGGCAUUUUGCCUAUUUCUGUUAUGUAGGACUUUGCCCAGCUCCCACAGGGAAGGUGCUAUACAGAACGAGAAACAAAGAGGAACAUCUGUUUGUUCAUAAGUUUGAAAUAACUUUGGUGUCGAAAACAAAUGGCCGUCCCCCUCUACCAACCUGUCCUCUGGCCAUUCAGCACUCUAAAAUGAUUAAUCAAUGUAUGAUUGUAUUCUAAAAACCAUUCUGCACAUGUUACUUUUCCCACUUGAAGUAUUUGGAAUUUGUAUACAAUCUUGCCAAAAUAUAAGAGACAGGAAAAUCUUACUUUUGUGUUCACUGAAUUCCCAGACCUUAAGGGCAGAAUGAAUGCAGGAGGAAUCCCAUCAGGAUGUCUCGGGCAAUUUUUCAUUAGUAUCCAUGACAAGCUGUUUCACCACAGGCUAUUGUUUUCAUGGAAAGUUCAAAUACAGUAGGAUGGGAUAUGGUGUGCUAUUAACACAUAAUGGUAUGAUUAUUACCUAUCUUAUAUAUAUAUGACCUUUGUCACCUAGAACAUUGAUACUCUUCAUUAUGAUGUACCAUUGUAGAAUAAGAGGAAUGGUUGGGUAGCUUUAGAGUUCUUUCUGUAGUUGUCUAAUUAUCUGUUUAAAGUUUUCAAAGCUUUCCUAAGAGGUGAACUAGAAGGCAAAACCAAAUAGGUCAGAGAAUCAUAGGGCUUUAAAGGGCCUUGGCAUUAAUUUGUCUAUUCCUUUUACAUCCUGGCAUCAAAUAGCUAAGCUAUUUCUGGUGAAGGUAUAUUUUAUACAAAAUUCCAAAAUUUAGCAUCAUGUCUAUCUGCAAAAAGCAUUAUGACUAUAAAGGAAUAACUUGAUUCUACAAGCAGAACAAAAAAUCAGUCAUAUAGCUACAUGUUGUAUUAAAAGCUUCUUCAAUGAGUUGAAACUUAUUUUUUCCUACAGUCUCUUUAUGAAAUUCAAUGAGUCACUUUUCACUUUUUGUAUAAUAACUUUAUGUUCCUAACGACAAUUGUUAAGUAUAUAUUUAGUUUUCUCUAGAAUGAAUGUGAGUAAAGCAUCAUUCAGUUUGGGUUAAUUGAGUAAGUUCUCCUUUAGCUUCAGCAGAAUUAAGGGCACAUAUCUUAUCUUCAUUUCUCAUAGUCAAUAUGUGGUUGAAAAAAUUUCAUUCCUUCAGCAAAUAUGGAAUUUCAGUUCUGCACAUGGCAUUAUGCCAAGCUCUGUAAGGGGUAUAAAGAAGAAUAAGAUGUGAUCCCUAAUUUCAGAAAGCUUACAGACCAAUAUGGUGGGUGAGACACUAGACAAAUAACUAUAGCACACAGUUGAAAGGGGAGAAGGUAGCUAAAGUUUAUUAAGCACCUAAAGCUAACCAGUCAGUCUGUAUAACUCCAAUUAAUGGACACAGAAUUGUGAGAUACUCAUUUUCAUUUGUUAAGCUGUCUUUACUGAGGCUAGGUAAAGCCAGUACUGUAUUUGAAACAGAUUAUUUCUGUCUCAGAGACCCACGCUCUCCCAGCAAAACUGCAUCUUUUCCAUAACAGGAGCGAAGAUGCUAUAAUUUCCCCAUGUAAGGAGAGCCACUUGAUGCUCUUCCAAAUUGAAAUCCCAUUUUUCGUUUUAAGGAAAGGUAAGACUCCUAAGGUGAACCAUGUGGUAUGGCGUAAACAAAGUGAUCUUUAUGUGGGCUCAUCUCUUAUUAAAUUGAUCUCUAAGGGGAAGGGAUCAAAAACUAUGUCUUCUUUCUUAUCAUAAUCAGAAUAUACUAGGAGUUUAAUAAAUAUUACAUUGGUUAAGUGAUAAAGGUAGAA